CCAUCCCUUGUUCCGCCUGGGGGAGGGAGGGGCCGGGCAAGGUGGGGGCACACUGGGGAGUCGAGAGCAGACAGCUGUGACAUUCCCACCCCUCCCUGCAGCCGCGCUCUGUGUCUGCCUGAGCCGUGCACCCGCUUAUCCCCAAGGCUGCCAUCCACUGGGCCUCCUCACCCCCCCUCCCCCCAUCACUGCAACUCCAGGGCCUAUGCACUCUGCCCCAGGCCUAGCCUCUCACCCCCACACCUGGCUACUGCACCCCCAGGCUCCCCCCCCCCCGGUGCCUCCUUCCUCCCCACUCCGCCUCACUGCAUUCCCUUUCCCCCCCUACCCCCAAAGCCCACUCUUAAUAUUAAAGGGAUGGUGGUUAGGAGUGAUGCAGCAGACAGGGGUCUCACAGGGGAGGGGCAUGGAGGAGAGGAGGGAUGGGGGCAGGGGAAGCCUCAUGGGGGAGGGGAAUUUUGGCAAGGGAGGGGUGGAGUGGAGGAGAGGAGGGGCUCACCAGGAAGUGGCGGACAGUGGGGACCUUGGGGAAAGGCAGAGCAGGGACAGGAAGAGGCGAAGUGCAGGCGGGGCCACCACAGGCCAGCAUCUGGUGGCAGGUCAGCAGAGGCUGCACCAGAGGAGGUUUAGCCUCUCCUGGCCUACUAUACCCGCCACCCAUGCCCAACGUGCAGUUUCCUGCCACCUAGGAAGCAUGUUUUAACUUGCAGAUACCAAUUUGUUAGUCUCUAAGGUGCCACAAGUCCUCCUUUUCUUUUUGCGGAUACAGACUAACAUGGCUGCUACUCUGAAACCUGUCAACAACACCCAAACUUCCUCUGCCUAAGGAACUGGGGAUGUGACCUGAAAGGCAGGUGCUGCACAUGCCUUGCCAUCUGAAUGGGUGCAAGUGGAAGGUGGAAGGACUGAGGUUAAGGCCCAAAAUCUGGCCCCAGCACGUACACUUCACCCUUGUGAAGAAGGACAGCAAGAAGGCUAUGCACCAGAUGACUCCCAAUUAAGCCCUAUUUUGAUGCAAUAACUGGCAUAUAGGCUUUAUGCUAGCUCUCUGCACAGGAGUGAAAUUCACCUAGCCUAGGAAGCUGGGUUGUUUGUCAGGAGUGCCCUGGGGCAUGAAGCUGCUCCUCAUCUGGUAUUUCUUUAGGGAUGGAAUCUUUUCUGAAGUACCUAUUAUCCUGUACAUGGUGGAGUGGAAAUUGCCAACAGAUCCUCAUAAAAAGUAUUUCCCA